rnacentral:rRNA from 1 species
AUUGAACGCUAGCGGCAUGCCUUACACAUGCAAGUCGAACGGCAGCGGGGGAGCUUGCUCCCGCCGGCGAGUGGCGAACGGGUGAGUAAUACAUCGGAACGUACCCAGUAGCGGGGGAUAGCCCGGCGAAAGCCGGAUUAAUACCGCAUACGCCCUACGGGGGAAAGGGGGGGAUCGCAAGACCUCUCACUAUUGGAGCGGCCGAUGGCUGAUUAGCUAGUUGGUGGGGUAAAGGCCUACCAAGGCGACGAUCAGUAGCUGGUCUGAGAGGACGGCCAGCCACACGGGGACUGAGACACGGCCCAGACUCCUACGGGAGGCAGCAGUGGGGAAUUUUGGACAAUGGGCGAAAGCCUGAUCCAGCAAUGCCGCGUGUGCGAAGAAGGCCUUCGGGUUGCAAAGCACUUUUGUCAGGGAGGAAAUCGUUUGGGUUGAUACCCCGAGCAGUUGACGGUACCUGAAGAAUAAGCACCGGCUAACUACGUGCCAGCAGCCGCCGUAA